AGCAGCCGCGGUAAUUCCAGCUCCAAUAGCGUAUAUUAAAGUUGUUGCAGUUAAAAGCUCGUAGUUGAAUUUCGGGAUUGGCGCAUCGGUCGUGCCUUACGGGGUAUGAACUGGUGCAGUCAAUUUCUCACCUUCUGGAGAACCGCGAUGUCCUUAAUUGGGUGCCGCGGGGAACCAGG
rnacentral:misc_RNA from 1 species